GUAGCACAAUGAGUAGCGCUUUGGACUUCUAAUCCAAAGGUCGUGGGUUCGAAAUCCACUUAAUUUCCG